rnacentral:rRNA from 1 species
UGGGGAUGACGUCAAGUCCUCAUGGCCUUUAUGCCCAGGGCUACACACGUGCUACAAUGGGUGGUACAAAGAGCAGCCAGCUCGCGAGAGUGAGCAAAUCUCAAAAAGCCAUCCUCAGUUCGGAUUGAAGUCUGCAACUCGACUUCAUGAAGUUGGAAUCGCUAGUAAUCGCGGAUCAGCAUGCCGCGGUCGAAUACGUUCCCGGGCCUU